GUCGUUAGCUCAGUCGGUAGAGCAGUUGACUUUUAAUCAAUUGGUCGCAGGUUCGAAUCCUGCACGAC
rnacentral:tRNA from 1 species